UACGUAGGGCGCAAGCGUUGUCCGGAAUUAUUGGGCGUAAAGAGCUCGUAGGCGGUCUGUCGCGUCUGCUGUGAAAUCCCGAGGCUCAACCUCGGGCUUGCAGUGGGUACGGGCAGACUAGAGUGCGGUAGGGGAGAAUGGAAUUCCUGGUGUAGCGGUGGAAUGCGCAGAUAUCAGGAGGAACACCGAUGGCGAAGGCAGUUCUCUGGGCCGUAACUGACGCUGAGGAGCGAAAGCGUGGGGAGCGAACCAGGAUUAGAUACC
rnacentral:rRNA from 1 species